rnacentral:rRNA from 1 species
UCGGGAAUUUUGGGCAAUGGGGGAAACCCUGACCCAGCAACGCCGCGUGAAGGAUGAAGUAUUUCGGUAUGUAAACUUCGAAAGAAUAGGAAGAAUAAAUGACGGUACUAUUUAUAAGGUCCGGCUAACUACGUGCCAGCAGCCGCGGUAAUACGUAGGUGGCAAGCGUUGUCCGGAUUUAUUGGGUUUAAAGGGUGCGUAGGUGGCCCUGUAAGUCAGUGGUGAAAUAUCUCAGCUUAACUGAGAGGGUGCCAUUGAUACUGCAGGGCUUGAGUACAGAUGAGGUAGGCGGAAUUGACGGUGUAGCGGUGAAAUGCAUAGAUAUCGUCAAGAACACCGAUAGCGAAGGCAGCUUACCAAGCUGUAACUGACACUGAGGCACGAAAGUGUGGGGAUCAAACAGGAUUAGAUACCCACGUAGUCCCUGAGCGGGCUGGCAAGGCGCAU